GAUGAACGCUGGCGGCGUGCCUAAUACAUGCAAGUCGAGCGAACAGAUGAGGAGCUUGCUCCUCUGACGUUAGCGGCGGACGGGUGAGUAACACGUGGAUAACCUACCUAUAAGACUGGGAUAACUUCGGGAAACCGGAGCUAAUACCGGAUAAUAUAUUGAACCGCAUGGUUCAAUAGUGAAAGACGGUUUUGCUGUCACUUAUAGAUGGAUCCGCGCCGCAUUAGCUAGUUGGUAAGGUAACGGCUUGCCAAGGCAACGAUGCGUAGCCGACCUGAGAGGGUGAUCGGCCACGCUGGAACUGAGACACGGUCCAGACUCCUACGGGAGGCAGCAGUAGGGAAUCUUCCGCAAUGGGCGAAAGCCUGACGGAGCAACGCCGCGUGAGUGAUGAAGGUCUUCGGAUCGUAAAACUCUGUUAUUAGGGAAGAACAAAUGUGUAAGUAACUAUGCACGUCUUGACGGUACCUAAUCAGAAAGCCACGGCUAACUACGUG
rnacentral:rRNA from 1 species